rnacentral:rRNA from 1 species
UUAAUUGAAGAGUUUGAUCAUGGCUCAGAUUGAACGCUGGCGGCAGGCCUAACACAUGCAAGUCGAGCGGCAGCGGGGGGAAGCUUGCUUCCCCGCCGGCGAGCGGCGGACGGGUGAGUAAUGUCUGGGAAACUGCCUGAUGGAGGGGGAUAACCACUGGAAACGGUGGCUAAUACCGCAUAACGUCGCAAGACCAAAGAGGGGGACCUUCGGGCCUCUUGCCAUCAGAUGUGCCCAGAUGGGAUUAGC